GAUGAACGCUGGCGGCGUGCCUAACACAUGCAAGUCGAGCGAUUCUCUUCGGAGAAGAGCGGCGGACGGGUGAGUAACGCGUGGGUAACCUGCCCUGUACACACGGAUAACAUACCGAAAGGUAUGCUAAUACGAGAUAAUAUGCUUUUAUCGCAUGGUAGAAGUAUCAAGGUUUUUGCGGUACAGGAUGGACCCGCGUCUGAUUAGCUAGUUGGUAAGGUAACGGCUUACCAAGGCGACGAUCAGUAGCCGACCUGAGAGGGUGAUCGGCCACAUUGGAACUGAGACACGGUCCAAACUCCUACGGGAGGCAGCAGUGGGGAAUAUUGCACAAUGGGCGAAAGCCUGAUGCAGCAACGCCGCGUGAGCGAUGAAGGCCCUCGGGUCGUAAAGCUCUGUCCUCAAGGAAGAUAAUGACGGUACUUGAGGAGGAAGCCCCGGCUAACUACGUGCCAGCCGCCGCCGUAAUAC
rnacentral:rRNA from 1 species